AACUAUCUAGGAUUUUCAAGCUUUGCAUUUCAGCAUCCUAGAUAGGGUUUCGGAAGACGACAGCAAAAGCGUUGUAGAGACAAAACGAGAAAUACUUUUCACAGAUCCCUUUCCAAGGAUCCGAAUGACCCCUAGAACGAAGAGAUUUUUUCAGAACCAUUGGAGGAGGAGGGUUCUUUUAGAGAGAGAAAAUGUCAUUUCUUAAGGGAUUAUUGAGCUCAGGUAUGCUUAGAAAGAGGCUGAAUCUCUACAAUCGCAUCAGAGGAGGAGACCAUGGCCAUGGCCAUGGUCAUGGAGAGAGUAGAUGGACCAGCCAAGGGAUGCAGGAGAGGCUUAAUGGCUACUUGUUCAUCAGGACUCCUCCACCUCCUGGUCAAUCGAGGGAAUGGGAGGAUUGGGAGCUCCCCUACUAUGUUACUGCAUUUCUCACUGUUGUGAUUCUUGGAAUCGGGCUCAACGCCAAGCCUGAUCUCACUCUCGAGACCUGGGCUCACAAUAAAGCCAUAGAACGUCUUGACGCUCAGGGAAUUUCUGUGCCUGAGGACGCAAAUUGAAGCUCCUAAUGGUGUAAGAGGUUGAAGAGCAUGAGUCAUGAGCCGUUAGUUAUGAAGAGAUUCUCAAAGAAGAUAAUGGUUGGAAGCGUAUUGGACGAGCCUAAACCCUGGACAUUGGCCAAGCAUUGUGCUGAUGCCGGUAACCCUGUACCUCACAGGGAUGAGAAGGAGGUGCAACACUUGAGGAAGGCUAUGAAAGCAGGGCACUCAGACUCUAUUUAUGCCUUGGGGUUGAUCCAACUAAGUACAGGAGACCUUUCACAGGGGGUGGAAUUGAUGGAAAGGAUCGAGAAACAAAGUCAAAAUUUAAUCUCAUAUCGUAGAAAAAAUACAAGGAGUACUCUUAGUAGUCUAUGGAUCAAUGAGGGAUUGUCAUGGAGAAAACGAAAUUGCAGGAAUCCGAAAUGCAUGGUGCAGAGAUCAAUGGGGUGGGAUCAGGUGGAAGAUACAAGUGGUUGCCGUUCAGUUGAAUGCAGGUGGAAUUGGGAGCUCAAUAGGUUCUGCAAAGAUCGAGUUCCCUGUUAGUUAAUGUGUGUGUGGUUGAGAUUUGAGAUGUUAUGACUUGAUCUUUUAUCUUUUUUGUGUAAUUUGGGUUGUUUAAUUAGAUGGACCCAACUCUUAUAUUAUUUUUAUGUGAUAUUUCAAAAUAAUGUG